ACAUUUCAUGACUCAAGUUCAAAUAUGCACAACAAACAAUCAAAUGAGAAGAUGGUAUCCGAUAAGUUUGCCAUUUACCACAUGAACACAUAAGACUCAUUAAUUCGGACAAUAUAACUAUUACCUUCCUUUCGGUCAAUCUUCCCAGUAAAUACUUGAAAUAACAAAGAGUCUCGAUCAAAAACUAAUAUGAAGGUUUCCUCAAGAGGGGAUAAUGUUUUGAAGUCAAAAUCAGAGACAAGCAACCUGGAAGAAGGUAAACUUAGAAGGGGUCAAAAUUUUUUGGGAAUUUAUUAAAUAUACCUCUUUUUAGCAUAUUAAUUGCAAUAAUACUAUCACAUUAAAAAUCUUACAGAUUUACGUUACUACCUACUUCUAUUAUGCAAAUAUACGGUCCCCUCCUUUCCACAGUUCCAUUCUUUACGCCUCUCUCGUCUCUCUUUCCCCGCUCCUUCCCCAAAUCUCUCUCGAUCUGAAUUAAAUUACGCUCUCUUUUUCUCUGCCUCUCUCCUUCAAUCUCUCUCAAUCGCUCCGAUGAAUUGGAUUUCAGAUUUCAGAGAACAAGCUCCGAACACCGAGAUCUCAAAGUCCGACAAGCCAAGCAUCUCCUUCUCCAUCUGCCCCCUUCUGAACGCACUCGCGACGCCGUCAUCUCCCGCCUCAUCGAAACCCUCUCCCCCUCCAUCCUCUCCCGAUGGGUGUGAUGGGUGUUGGAGUGUGGUUGAUUGUGUUGGGUUUGAGUAGAUCGAAGCAGAUUAAAAGACUAUGGGUUGAUGAUGGUGGUCAAUUGUGAUUCUACUAUUUUCAGUGAUGUUGGUGUCGACUGGAUUGCUCGAGAAACUUUUGUAAUCAUUUUUAUUAUCAAGAAUAUUUAUAUUCUAUCUGUUAAGCAAUCUGAAAACAAAGCGGCUAUUUGUUUAGCUCGAUUUUUGUUUCACACUUAGGUUGUAAUUGUCAGUUUGGGGGUUUGUCCCGACUGUGUUCUUAUGUUUUAUGUUCAAUAAAAUCUUACUGUUCGUCAAAAAAAAAAA